GAUGAACGCUGGCGGCGUGCCUAAUACAUGCAAGUCGAGCGAAUGGAUUAAGAGCUUGCUCUUAUGAAGUUAGCGGCGGACGGGUGAGUAACACGUGGGUAACCUGCCCAUAAGACUGGGAUAACUCCGGGAAACCGGGGCUAAUACCGGAUAACAUUUUGAACCGCAUGGCUCGAAAUUGAAAGGCGGCUUCGGCUGUCACUUAUGGAUGGACCCGCGUCGCAUUAGCUAGUUGGUGAGGUAACGGCUCACCAAGGCAACGAUGCGUAGCCGACCUGGGAGGGUGGUCGGCCACACUGGGACUGAGACACGGCCCAGACUCCUACGGGAGGCAGCAGUAGGGAAUCUUCCGCAAUGGACGAAAGUCUGACGGAGCAACGCCGCGUGAGUGAUGAAGGCUUUCGGGUCGUAAAACUCUGUUGUUAGGGAAGAACAAGUGCUAGUUGAAUAAGCUGGCACCUUGACGGUACCUAACCAGAAAGCCACGGCUAACUUCGUGCCAGCAGCCGCGGUAA
rnacentral:rRNA from 1 species